CUCCCACCCCCGCCAUCUGAGGCAACCACAACUGGAAUUUCUAUCAUAUUGUGUUAAAUUACUACUUCUAGAAAUUCAUGUAAAUGAAAUCAACCAGAAUGUGAUGUUUUCAGAUAUAUGAUCUCUGGUUGUUUUGUGAUCCCAGGAUCUACUGAGAUGUAUAGCAUAAGAAGUUAUACACAUCCUGGAUUUUGAUAUAGUGAUUAGAAGGCAUCAUUCUGGAAGAUGGGGAAACACCAGUGAACAAAAUGACAUCUGCCUUCAUGGAAUUUAUGUGCAGGCAGAAGAAAGACAAAAUUAAAAGUGACAUGGAAGUAAAAUAUAUUAUAUGUUAUAUACAGGUGGAUAAAUUCAGUGUAUCUGUCAUGUAUGACAGAUAAAUAUCCUGUCAUACAUGUGCAGAGGCAAGCCUGGGGUGCACAAGUAAUAAACCAUUGCAAUAAUCCAAGUAGAAAGUGUUGAGGGCCUAUAUUCGCAGGACAACUGGUGAAGUAUUUUUGAGGUAGAAUCAGCAGGAUACGGUAGUCAGCUGAAGAGAACAGAUGUCUGAAUUUUUCAUAUCACGAUUCUCCUUGUAAUAUAAACAUUUUUCUUUUAAAAAAUUACUGCAAGUGGACUCUUUGGAACAAUACCUCUUUAUUUUUGGUGCUUUUAAUGGUUGUAGGAAAAAGAUCUUUAGAGCAACAGGACAAAAAAAAGAGUAAAUGAUCUUUCUAGUCUCAUGCUUUGCCAUGAAUAUUGUCCCAUCUGGCCCCUGCAAUCUCCAUCUCUACUACUGAAAGGAUAUUCCAUAAAGCAUUUAUGAGUUCCAGCUUUAGCGUACGGGAGUCUGUGACCCACAAAUUGGCAAGGCAGACCACUAUAGGCGGAAUAAUCAUGUAUUUUUAAAAACUGGCAUCUUUCAAUUGUGAGAAAAAAUGAUAGUGUGAAUUAGACCAUAUGCCUGUUCUCGGAAUGUAAUUAUUACUGGCUCUAGCUAACAUCGCCUGAAUCUCAAAUACAAACUAAAGAAGAUCUGUGGCUUUGAUACAUGCUGAGAAACUUUCAAUGAUGUAACAAAGCAUCUGAAUUGGGAAGCAGGAAAAAGCUUUAACUCUUUUGCUUAAUAUGAUGUAAUUUAGUAAAUAUCUUCUGUAUGGUAUGAUAUGUAAAGGUGUAUGUUGUAGGGAUAUGUUUCUGGUUGAUGAAUUGAAAAGUAAAGGGAACAAAAAACAGUUAUUCAACUGGUUAAAUGACUCUACAAGAUACCAGGCUAUAAUUUUGACUGACAUUGUAACUCAAAUGACCUUGGCUGACAAUAGCCUAUGUUAUGGUAUUGCUUAGACAUAUCUUAAAGAAGGCCAUCAAGCCUCAAAAUAGUAAAAAUAUCCAGAACAGAAAAAAAUCCAACAACAUGGAAAGCUCAAGCUCAACUUUGGGAUAAGAUGUGACAUGGUUUGGCUGUGUCCCCACCCAAAUCUCAUCUUGAAUUGUAGUUCCCGUAUUCCCCACGAGUCAUGGGAGGGACCCAGUGGGAGGUAAUUGAAUCAUGGGAGCAGUUACCUCCAUGCUAUUCUCCUGAUAGUUCUCAUGAGAUCUGAUUGUUUUAUAAGGGGCUUUUCACCCUUUUGCUUCGCACUUCUCCUUCCUGCCACCAUGUGAAGAAGGCCAUAUUUGCUUCCCCUUCUGCCAUGAUUGUUUCCUGAGGCCUCCCCAGCCAUGCGGAACUGUGAGUAAAUUAAGCCUCUUUUCUUUAUAAAUUACUCAGUCUCAGGCAGUUCUUUAUAGCAGCAUAAGAACGGACUAAUAGAAGAUGGUUUUGUGUCUUCAGAACAAGCUACUCUACUUUCAUCUGUACAAUAUCAACAGAAAAGUGUAGUAGAAAACUAAAUGAAAAUAAUCAGAGACACCUGGCUGUUUACAGCUGGUAUGUUUAUUCACCUUUCUUGUGAUCCUAAAAAUGUUUUUAAGUUUCC
rnacentral:lncRNA from 1 species